rnacentral:lncRNA from 1 species
UUUUGUUGGUUGUUUUCUCUAGGGAACAAGCUACCCUCUGAGUCAGCACUGGACUUGAAGAUAAAUCCUACAAUUCAUGAAACUGACUGAUUCGACUAAAGGAUGGAUAGUUUGGGCAGCGUUGGACAGCUCUAUGAGGGGUCUGUUUGUUUAACUGAAGGGAUUGUUGAGUUCAGCAACUUUUAAUUCCCCUAAUCAUAAGGGGUUGCUGUUGUGAAAACAGGGUUUGUGAAGGAAUCAGUUCUGGCAAUUAACAUCAGUAUUCUUACUGACUUCGUUUUUAUUUUAUUGUCAAACUUCUUUAAAGUGGAUAAAUUUUACUGCUUUUUUUGCCAGCAAGAAUUUGUAUGCACUGAGAGGUCAGCAUAGAAGCUUUGCAGUCUACUUAUGAAUCCAAGUUUCUUUUUUUAAAAUAUAUGAGGUUAUAAACAUUUCUCUCAAGUAAACUUUUUGACACUUGGAUUAUUUCAUCUUUACAAAGGAAUGUCGUUGUCUGCUGGGUCUUCCCCUCUUCAUUCCCCCAAGAUUACUCCACAUACUUCUCCUGCUCCCAGAAGAAGAAGUCACACUCCAAAUCCAGCAAGUUACAUGGUGCCUUCUAGUGCCUCUACAUCUGUUAAUAAUCCUGUUUCUCAGACUCCGUCUUCUGGUCAGGUGAUCCAAAAGGAAACUGUUGGUGGGACGACUUACUUCUAUACAGACACAACUCCAGCACCUUUGACUGGAAUG